AACGAACGCUGGCGGCAUGCCUAACACAUGCAAGUCGAACGCUAUUUAUAGAGUGGCGCACGGGUGAGUAACGCGUGGGAACCUGCCUUUUUCUGCGGGAUAACGGUUGGAAACGACCGCUAAUACCGCAUACGCCCUACGGGGGAAAGGUCCGCCGCAGAGGGAGGUGCCCGCGUCCGAUUAGCUUGUUGGUGAGGUAAGAGCUCACCAAGGCGACGAUCGGUAGCUGGUCUGAGAGGAUGAUCAGCCACACUGGGACUGAGACACGGCCCAGACUCCUACGGGAGGCAGCAGUGGGGAAUAUUGGACAAUGGGGGCAACCCUGAUCCAGCAAUGCCGCGUGUGUGAUGAAGGCCUUAGGGUUGUAAAGCACUUUCACUGGUGAAGAUGAUGACGGUAGCCAGAGAAGAAGCCCCGGCUAACUUCGUG
rnacentral:rRNA from 1 species